AAUAAUAAAACGAUAAAAAUAUGUGUUUUUGAUCAUCACAUUGGUUGUUGCAUGUUGUAUUAGUUAAUUAAUAGAUUUAUUCUUAUGUGUUCUUAUGCUAUAUUUGCUUCUGUUAUGCAGAUUCUUCUACCACAAUGCUUAUAGAUGGUUUCCUGCAUAUGGGUUAGUUAAUAUCUUGUUCUGAAGGAGCAAAAAGCCAUAUACUAAAAUACUACUAAAUCACAAGACUGCAUCCUAUCGACAUGCUUACAGAAGUGGACGUCCGAAGGUUAUGCUAGUACUUUAUGAGAAGAGGAGAGCUGAAUGAUGGACAUGAUCAGAUUAGAUUUAAGAUUUCAUCCUUCUGGAUCAACUCAUUUAGAGGAUUCUGCUCUGGAUUUGGAUCGCAAUUACAGUGGUCAUCCUAAUUUUCCCUCAUCCAGUCCUUCUCCUCUCCAGCCUUUUGCUUCAGCUGAUCAGCACUCUGAGAGUAAUUCCGCCUAUUUCUCAUGGCCAACUUCAAGUCGAUUAAUUGAUGCAGCGGAAGAUAGGGCCAAUUAUUUUGGAAACUUGCAGAAAGGUGUUCUGCCUGAGACUUUUGGUUUGCCAAAAGGGCAGCAAGCUACCACCUUGCUAGAGUUGAUGACUAUUAGAGCAUUCCAUAGCAAAAUUUUGCG